rnacentral:sRNA from 1 species
AGCCUAAACCAGUAGUAAUGCUGGCAUGGCUCAAGAAUCCUCUCAUCGAUACCAAACUCCACGUUUGGCCAACUUCGAUGAGAGGUCACACCCGAAAGGGUGUGGAUGCCGCAAGGCAUC